UAAAAAUUGACAAUCUAAUCAAGUAAUGUGAAAGAAAAUAAGAUUAAAAUUAUAACGAAUGAUGGAUUUAUAAUACAAGACAUCGAAUUGAUCGAUCUUUUGUAAAAAAGAAAAGUUGAAUUCCAUUAAUAGGACACAUCAGGCUCAAGUGUUUCUUCGCUACAUAAAAGCGUCACUUUUUCUGCGACACGAAGCACAAAGGAAAAGAAGAAAAAUGUCGGACGUUUAAAAACGCUUACGGCUGAUCCCCGUCUGCUCGGUUUCCCAAAGACACGCUCUUUGAGCAUUUGAUGCCUUCAUCCUUCUUAUUUCCUUGUGACGCAUAAUUUAUUUGAUACCACCUUUUCUCGUGGCUUCUGUUCAAAUCGUUCAAAUAUUUGUCUCCUUUUCUUUUUUUUUUAUCUUUCACCUGUUCAAAUUCUAUCGUUCUCUCUUCGAUUUUACUUUUAACAAUUAACAUGAAUUCAUGCUUCGUUGUAUAAAUCGAACAAUUUGAAAUAAUUAAUCUUUUAAUCUUUGCUCUUUUAUUAUAAAAUUAAUAUUCGUCACAAUGAAUGACAAUCAAAAAUUCUUAAUAAAGAUAUUUAAAUUAAUGAAAAUUAAAAAAUUUAAUUUUAGAAUUAAUAAUGAUUGCGUAAUUGGAGCAUAGAAUAAAAUUGAAGAAUUGAAAAUGUAUAUCGUACGAUGAAUAUUUCCAUAUUGAAUUGGUGAAUUUAAAAUUUAAAAAAUUCAUGCUGAAUCGCGUUUCGAGAGUUUAUUCUUCGCGUUAUAUCGAAUAUAUACGAAUGUAUUCUUCACAGAUUAAAACGAUAUAAAAAACAAAGUUUUUAAAAAGGAAGUACAAUGCAAAUAUUUGUGGAAAGAGAUGUGUCGCGAUUUUUUAUAUCAAAAAAAUCAAAAUUUUAUAAUUCUUCAUUAAUUUCGAAUCAUUUCCUUCUAUAAAUUAAUAUCUCUAUGUUUAUUCUUCUCUAGAUUAUUGAUUAUAAAUGGAUAUAAAUUUUUUUUCUUCUAUUUCAUACUUAUUUUUUUUUUUUGUAAUAUUCAAUUAAUGCAAUUCUUAUAUAAAAGAAGAAAUUAAAAAUUAAUGAUAAUUUUUUUUUCUAGGUUUGAAGAAUAUGGCAAUAUGUAUUUAAUUGACAAUAUGUAAUUAUAUUUAAAAAAGUACUAAAAAUCAUUUAAGAAUGAAAGAAAUGAUUUCUUAAAAAUCAUUGCUAUUCAGAAAUUGAUAGAAUAAAAGAUAUGAACAUGUGUUUUAUAUAUAUAUAUAUAUAUAGUUUUGAAAGAUUAUAGAUACAAAAAAAGAUAAAAUGAUAUGAAUAAGAUUUAUUUUUCAAUUAUAAGCAAUUUAAUAUCUUAAUAAACAAAAACAUAAUAACUAGUAUAUAGCUAUAUUCAGUGUGCUAAGCAGAGAACAUAUAUAGUAUCACGUACCAAAGCUUUUCAAUUAAAAAUUUUUGAAAAGAUAUAUCUAUUUAUUAUUAUUAUCAUUAUUGUUCUAAUUGCCAUUGAAAUUAUUUCAAAGAUUGAAAAUAACAAAUUAAAUAUUUUAAAAUUCAGAUAUUAUAUAUAUUAAAGAAAAUGUGAUAUUUAUGUUGAGCUAUAGUUAAAUAGAAAAACAUGUAUAAUGACUUACAUUACAAAAUAUGUGUAUUCUAUUUCAUGACUCUGUUAAUCUUGUAUGAAUGUAAUAUCCACAUGAGAUCAUUCACUUUUUGCUCAAGGAUAAAACAAUGAUUUUUUUUAUUAUCAUUCAAAUGAUUCAUAUAUCAAAAUAAAAAAAUCUUCAUAUAUUAUACUUUAAAAUAAUUUAAAAUAUUCAUAUUCAUAUACUAUUUUAAAAAAAAAAUAUUGAAAAUAAUGUUUAGAAGCUUUUUUAAAAAAAAAAAUCUUUCAAUUUUAAAUAAAAUAUCGUAUAGAAGAAAAAUAAUAUCUGAUUAAAUUCCUAUAUUAAAUUCAUUUCUUAAAUAAUUCUUCAAAACAUAUUCAAAAUCUUUUUAUUUCAAAAAAACGUAUAAAAAUAUAAUUUUUACAAUUUUAACUUUAAUUUUUUAUUUUUCUCUUUACAAUUUUCAACAAAACAAUUGACGUUAAAUUUCUUUCUAACCAUCAAUUGUCACGCAAAGAUAUUAUAAAUUUCACUUAUGAAAGUAAAUGGAAAAAAAUAUUCCAUCUCGAUAUACGAUAUUGUACAAUCUAUAUCAUGAACUGUAUCAUUGAAAUUAUCCAUGAGAAACACUUUCAUACGAAUAAAUCUAAAUGCAGUGAGAAAUUGAAAUUGUGUUCGGUGGUGAUGAUGCACUUUCGCGCGACACGCGAUGGAAAUUGAGCGUGUAAAAUAUCUUGCUCUUGAGUUACAAAUACUGCGAAAAGGAAAUUGCAAACGUCUUGGAGGUUAGCCCCCUCUGUCUGUCUGCGCGAUUUCUCGCGAAUUUCUAAUCGACGUGGAUCCGCUCGAUUUAUCGAUAGUUGUUGUCGAUAAACUCUCGGUCGAUGAACUCUUUCAUCGCACGCCCGGCUUAAAUGGAUGCCAAUCCAUUAAUUUUCCGCCACUAUCGAAAUGUGGUAAUGACAAAAUUAUUUUAAAGCAAUUUAUUAAAUAAAAAAAUUAAAUUUUUUAUUAGAUUUAUUCUUUAUUUUCGUUAUUUUUAUUCAUGAUGAAAGAUGAAAAAUGUAUUUGAAAUUUUAAUUAAAUUUGUUGAUGGAUUAUUAUUCAAUAAUAUUGAUAAUUUUUAUUCAUAAAGCAAAUUGAUCGGCUUCUUUAUCGGUUAGAGGACAUUAAUCGAUCCGUGCCUCUCAUUUCCAAUUAUCAUUUUAUUGGUAACUUUGAAGUGAAUAUUAAAAAAAGAAUAAAAUAUUUUAUUAUUUUUCUGUGUUAUUUAAAUAUUCAUGUAUUAUUAAUUAUUUUUCUUAUUAACUAUUACAUACAACUAUUACAUAACAAAUAAAAAUUAGUUAGGAUUGAUUUUAUUUAUACUAAUAAAAUAAUAUUUGAUCAUCUUAAGAUAAAUGUAUAUAUAAGUUUAAUCACUUUCAAAGAGUAAUCCUUCAAAUAUUGAACAUUUAAUGGCAUCAUAUAUAGAUCAGACAAGAUCUAAAAAAUCGUUCGAUGAUACAUUUCGAAAUUUUAAUUAUAAAUUAAUGUUUGUGCAAUAUGUAAAUUAAACAAACCCAUUCCUGUAUUGUUACAUGAAAUCUACUACUACCUUUCGUGUACAUAAUUUAUAUUAAUUUAUAUAGAGACAUGUGUAAAUAUUUACCUUGUUCCAUUUAAUUUCGAUUCUUGGUCUACUUUCAACUCUUGGAUUGUUUGAGCAGAAAAUGUUGCGUGUAUUUAUUUCGAUUGUUAAGUAAUCGUUUGAAGUAAUUUCAUUAAUAAAAGAAAUGUAUAGUAAAUAAUGAUAAUAAAAAUAUUUUAAUAAAUUUUUAAAAAAAAA